GGUGGUCAAAGUAACGUUCCGGUUAGCAUUAAACUUUGACCACCAUUUGAAAGCAGAGUAAAAUAAUUGUAGUCAAG